ACUUGCCACUGCCGGAUGCAGGAUCCAUCUCCACCCCCGUCUCUGCACCCUGCCCCGAGGAACAGGGCAGGCAACGGCAGCCAGAGAUAGGAGCUGAUGACAGUAGGGCACGGAGUAGAGCCUACAAGGCUCCCUUAGAGCAACAACCUACGGCAAUCAGACAGUGACGGACCGAGACCACAGAAGUUUGGAGGGCAGCUGGUAUGGCUACUGAUAAAACCCUGAGUGCGGAGAGGAAGUACUCUACAUUCAAGCCAGCAGCACCCAGGUCUGAGCCUCGGAGCCCAGGUCACAACUACACCGAGCCACCCACUGCCACCACCUUCCAAAUCCCCGUAUGAGAACCCAGCGGGAUUUCUUAGCUUCCAGGGAAGUCCACCUCUUGGGGGGGGGGGUGGCUGACAGGAGGACUAACAGCAAAAGGACACUGGAGUGACCAGUCUUCCAGCCUUCCAAGGAAUUCCCCUGCGGGGCACUAUUAUUCUCUCUGAGCCAUGUUCCACUGUGUGAUGUCCCGUGAUGCCAAGGGAAAGAAACUUCUGGAACCCAUCAAUAGCCUUUCUUUGGAACCACUCUGCUGCCACACAUUUCCCAGCCUUCAGAGACACAGAUGUCCUAUCUUGUCCGAUCACUGGGAACACCAAGGGACGGAUGUGGAAAGGUGGACGCUUCCAACUCACAGGAAAAGGAAAUGGCGGAGAAGAAUCUGAGUGCGUUCAAGAGACCUGGCUACGAGCAGACUCGCUACAGCACAGUCUGCAGAAUGACCAGUGAGGACGCAGACUUCCAACUGGUUUCCAAGCAAAAGUGUACAUUUGUAUGAACUCACGGUCUCUCUGUUCUGCAGACCACAGCCCCCUACUGCUGCUCCCAUGACGUUAUGCCACAGAUUGUUUUUUAAAAUGGAAAUUCUAGGGGCGCCUGGGUGGCUCAGUCGUUAAGCGUCUGCCUUCGGCUCAGG